rnacentral:lncRNA from 1 species
GAAUCCAAUCUCCAACCUUAUACACCUUACCUAUCUUGACCUUAGCUUGCGCAAAUCCUCACCAAUUCUUGUCUCCAAGAUUCUUCCAAGAUCUGACCUAAACCUUACCUAACCUUUCAGCCAUCCUUACCCUUCCAUAAGCAUACAAACUGCAAGCUACCCAAUCCAAUAACCACCCGAUCUAGGUGAUUGUUCUUCACUCUUUCUCGUCUUUGUGUCUUGACUUGAGUUGUGAAGCUUGCAAGUGGCAAGAUCCAAUUCUUGAUUCUCUGGCCGGAAUCUCAUCAUACCACACCAAUUAAAAAACAUUUUUUCAACAUUUCUUAGAAAGUGAUAUCUACUCUUGGAUAGACAGACACUCUUCAGACACUUCUAUCACAACUUUUCUAAAAUAAACUUAUAUUAUAUUAUUGAUAUUAAACUUAUUUAAAAUUUGAAAUCAUUUAAAAUAUUAUGAAGCACAUUACCCUUCUUCCAUUGAGAACAAACAUCUUUGUGCACAAAACCUUGUUUUUGUCGUGGAUGUUAGUCAGUGCUCUGUUCCAUUGUCGUGGUCGUCAACAUCUGUAUUUGUGUUAGUUUCAAUUGUCACUGAUUUCUGUUGUUGCCAGCUGUGCCUUUGUCUUCUGUGGUUGAGGGUAACUCUCCUCCAACACGUGGUUGCCAA